UACGUAGGGGGCAAGCGUUGUCCGGAUUCAUUGGGCGUAAAGAGCGUGUAGGCGGCCAGGUAGGUCGGUUGUGAAAACUGGAGGCUCAACCUUCAGACGUCGACCGAAACCAUCUGGCUAGAGUCCGGGAGAGGAGAGUGGAAUUCCUGGUGUAGCGGUGAAAUGCGCAGAUAUCAGGAGGAACACCAGUGGCGAAGGCGAGUCCCUGGACAACUCCUGACACUGAGGCACGAAAGCUAGGGGAGCAAACAGG
rnacentral:rRNA from 1 species